UGUGUCUGCAGGAGAGGAGUCGAGCAGAGAGAGCUGCUUUUUCAUGAAACGGGAGUAAAGUAGUGAACUUACAGGAACAUAUACCACUACCGACGUUGGGAUCGAUAUCUGCAUCGAUCUGCACACCCUUGUCUCCUGGAUCGUAGCUGAGAUCAGCGUGAACCACGUGGGUCUCUGCUCCCUGAUCUCUUUCCUGUGUUUGGAAAAACUUCCUGCUUCAUCACGGAGUUUCUCUCGGUUUGUGGGCUCAUCUAAAGCUGAGUAACAGGAGAAGAGUCUGGUGGAGCAACAGAGGAACAAUUUCAGCCAUUUGGACUCAGCUCAGCCACUACAGAGGAAACAAUGACUUCAACACAAAAGGACCAACAUGGAGCGAGAAGUCAGUGCUCUCAGGAGGCCGACAAACCUCACAGAAG